rnacentral:rRNA from 1 species
GUAGGUGGCAAGCGUUGUCCGGAAUUAUUGGGCGUAAAGCGCGCGCAGGUGGUUCUUUAAGUCUGAUGUGAAAGCCCCCGGCUCAACCGGGGAGGGUCAUUGGAAACUGGGGAACUUGAGUGCAGGAGAGGAGAGUGGAAUUCCACGUGUAGCGGUGAAAUGCGUAGACAUGUGGAGGAACACCAGUGGCGAAGGCGACUUUCUGGCCUGUAACUGACACCGAGGCGCGAAAGCGUGGGGAGCAAACAGGGAUUAGAUACCCUGGUAGUCCACGCCGUAAACGAUGAGUGCUAAAUGUUGGGGGGGUUUCCCGCCCCUCAGUGCUGCAGCUAACGCAUUAAGCACUCCGCCUGGGGAUACGGCCGCAAGACUG